UAAAACAGAGACUGCCCAGAUUGUGGCCAA
rnacentral:piRNA from 1 species